rnacentral:lncRNA from 1 species
AUUUGCAGCACCCAGUGCAAAAUAAAAAUGUGGGGCCCCUUGUAAUAAAAUUAUUAAAAAUUUACACAGCUCUCUCGCCUGUAAUCCCAGCAAGUUCAAGACCAGCCUGGGCAAUAUAGUGAGAUCCCAUUAUAAGUUUUAAGUUUUUUAAUUUUAAAAAAACUUAAAAAUUAGCUGGUUGUGGUGGUGUGCACCUGUAGUCUCGGCUACUCAGGAGGCUGAAGUGGGAGGAUCACUUGAGCCCAGGGAGUUGAGGCUGCAGUGAGCGGAGAUCGUACCAUUGCACUCCAGCCGGGGUGACAGUGCAAGAUCCUGUCUCGAAAAAAUAAAAUAAAAUAACACACACACACAACCGAAAAAAAUAACAUGGCAACAGCAGAGCAAUGGCCCAAGCACAGGGCCCUGUGUGACUGUGUGGGUGGCAUGUCUGUGAAGGGAUCCUGGCCACCCAGUCACACAUGCUGAAGCAGGUAACUGCGCUGGGGGGCCGGGUCCAUGGUGGCCUGAGACGUGAUCUGGUUCCCGGCUCUGACUCCUUUGGGUCCUGAGCUCUCAUCGGCCCCAGGUAAGUGAGGGUGGGAGCCCAGGUCCUGUCGCAAUGCUCAUUCUCUCUUGCUUUUGUCCUAGACAAUGGUUCCCUUCCUUUCUCGUCUCCUCCCAGUCUCCUAAUCUGCUCUGUCCACCACAAAGGCAGCGGAUUAGUUUACAGCCCCUAACUGCCUCAACUCUCACAAUUCCUGGACACUUGAUCCAGUGUCCUCCAUCCUCAAACACUCCCAACCCUGGGUUGCCCCAGAUCUGGAGCUGAGAGGAAGGGAGAAAAAAUGAAAUGCAUACACUGGAACUGUUUACAGUCCUGUCCUGAGCGCCCCCUGCAGGCGGAGACCCAUACUAGGGGUGUGUGUGUGUGUGUGUGUUGUGUGUCUGUGUGUGUGUGUGUUCUUGAAGGAUGUGUGUGUAUGUUUGAAGGAGGUGUGUGUGUGUGUUAGGUGUGUGUGUGUUUGAAGGACGGGUGUGUGUUUGAAGGAGGUGUGUGUUUGAAGGAGGUGUGUGUGUUGGGGUGUGUGUGUAUGAAGGAGGUGUGUAUGUUUGAAGGAGGUGUGCGUAUGUGUUUGGAGGUGUGUGUGUGUAUUUGAAGGAGGUGUGUGUGUGUGUUUGAAGAAGGUGUGUGUGUUAGGGGUGUGUGUGUAUGUUUGAAGGAGGUGUGUGUGUAUGUUUGAGGGAGGUGUGCGUGUGUGUGUGUGUUUGAAGGAGGUGUAUGUGUAUGUGUGAAGGAGGUGUGUGUGUAUGUUUGAAGGAGGGUGUGUAUGUGUAUGUUUGAAGGAGGUGUGCAUAUGUGUUUGGAGGUGUGUGUGUGUGCUUGAAGGAGGGUGUGUGUGUUUGAAGCAGGGUGUGUGUGUGUUUGAAGGAGGUGUGUGUGUGUUUGGAGGUGUGUGUGUGUUUGAAGGAGGUGUGUGUUAGGUGUGUGUGUGUUUGGAGGUGUGUGUGUUUGAAGGAGGUGUGUGAGGUGUGUGUGUUUGGAGGUGUGUGUGUGUUUGAAGGAGGUGUGUUAGGUGUGUGUGUGUUUGGAGGUGCGUGUGUGUGCUUGAAGGAGGUGUGUGUUAGGUGUGUGUGUGUGUUUGGAGGUGUGUGUGUGUGUUUGAAGGAGGUGUGUGUGUUUGGAGGGUGUGUGUGUGUUUGAAGGACAUGUGUUUCGAGGGUGUGUGUUUGAAGGAAGUGUGUGUUAGGUGUGUGUGGAGGUGUGUGUGUGUUUGAAGGAGGUGUGUUAGGUGUGUGUUUGUUUGGAGGUACGUGUGUGUGUGUGGAGGAGGUGUGUGUUAGGUGUGUGUGUGUUUGGAGGUGUGUGUGUUUGAAGGAGGUGUGUGAGGUGUGUGUGUUUGGAGGUGUGUGUGUGUUUGAAGGAGGUGUGUUAGGUGUGUGUGUGUUUGGAGGUGCGUGUGUGUGCUUGAAGGAGGUGUGUGUUAGGUGUGUGUGUGUGUUUGGAGGUGUGUGUGUGUGUUUGAAGGAGGUGUGUGUGUUUGGAGGGUGUGUGUGUGUUUGAAGGACAUGUGUUUCGAGGGUGUGUGUUUGAAGGAAGUGUGUGUUAGGUGUGUGUGGAGGUGUGUGUGUGUUUGAAGGAGGUGUGUGUUAGGUGUGUUUGUGUUUGGAGGUGUGUGUGUGUUUGAAGGAGGUGUGUGUGUUUGGAGGUGUGUGUGUGUUUGGAGGUGUGUGUGUGGAGGUGUGUUUGGAGGUGUGUGUGUGGAGGUGUGUGUGUGUGGAGGUGUGUGUGUGUGUUUGGAGGUGUGUGUGUGGUGUGUGUUUGGAGGUGUGUGUGUGGAGGUGUGUGUGUGGAGGUGUGUGUGUGUGGAGGUGUGUGUGUGUGGAGGUGUGUGUGUUAGGAGGAGGUGUGUGUUGGGUGUGUGUGUGUUUGCAGGUGUGUGUGUUUGGAGGUGUGUGUGUGUUUGGAGGUUGUGUGUGGAGGUGUGUGUGUGUGUGGAGGUGUGUGUGUGUGCUUGAAGGAGGUGUCUGUGAUGUGAUCCCAAGAAAAGGAACCACGAGCACAGAUCCUGCCUUCAGGAAGCUCCCAGACUGAAGGAGGAGGCAUGGCCCCUGCCCUAAAAGAGUUCCCCUCUCCUGAUGCAAAGAAACACAGCUCCUGUCCACAAGGAACCCUGAAUCUGAUGAAGUAGAGCAUCACAAUCAGACAAACAUACAGACAGAUGGGGACACACACACCCUACAAAGACAUAGUGAACAUAAUACUACCUGGUAUUUUCACAGGAAAUAAAAUCGCACCCCCUCUGUGCUAAACACCCCCCAAGGAGGAUCUUGCUUCAUGCAACAACUCACCGGGCAGAGAUGAUUAUUGACACUUGACAAACAAGUGUCAACCUUGGUCUUCCCAUUCC